AUGGGGGAAACCCCAUACUCCUCACACACCAAAUCGCCCGAUUUAUCGGGCUUU
rfam:Prochlorococcus marinus MED4 complete genome.